CACGUAGUUAGCCGUGGCUUUCUGGUUAGAUACCGUCAAGGGGAUGAACAUUUUACUCUCAUCCUUGUUCUUCUCUAACAACAGAGUUUUACGAUCCGAAAACCUUCUUCACUCACGCGGCGUUGCUCGGUCAGACUUUCGUCCAUUGCCGAAGAUUCCCUACUGCUGCCUCCCGUAGGAGUCUGGGCCGUGUCUCAGUCCCAGUGUGGCCGAUCACCCUCUCAGGUCGGCUAUGCAUCGUGGCCUUGGUGAGCCGUUACCUCACCAACUAGCUAAUGCACCGCGGGUCCAUCCAUCAGUGACGCAAAAGCGCCUUUCAGCUUCCUCUCAUGCGAGAAAAAGCAUUAUACGGUAUUAGCACCUGUUUCCAAGUGUUAUCCCUUCUGAUGGGCAGGUUACCCACGUGUUACUCACCCGUUCGCCACUCCUCUUUUCGAUGAACCGAGUUCGGUAGAAAAGAGCGUUCGACUUGCAUGUAUUAGGCACGCCGCCAGCGUCGUCUGACG
rnacentral:rRNA from 1 species